rnacentral:rRNA from 1 species
GAUGAACGCUGGCGGCGUGCUUAACACAUGCAAGUCGAACGGAAAGGCCCAAGCUUGCUUGGGUACUCGAGUGGCGAACGGGUGAGUAACACGUGGGUGAUCUGCCCUGCACUUCGGGAUAAGCCUGGGAAACUGGGUCUAAUACCGGAUAGGACCACUUCUUGGAUGUUGUGGUGGAAAGUUUUUUCGGUGUGGGAUGAGCUCGCGGCCUAUCAGCUUGUUGGUGGGGUAAUGGCCUACCAAGGCGUCGACGGGUAGCCGGCCUGAGAGGGUGUACGGCCACAGUGGGACUGAGAUACGGCCCAGACUCCUACGGGGGGCAGCAGUGGGGAAUAUUGCACAAUGGGCGCAAGCCUGAUGCAGCGACGCCGCGUGGGGGAUGACGGCCUUCGGGUUGGAAACUCCUUUCGCUAGGGACGAAGCGUUUUGUGACGGUACCUGGAGAAGAAGCACCGGCUAACUACGUG